rnacentral:rRNA from 1 species
AGCGAACGCUGGCGGCAGGCUUAACACAUGCAAGUCGAACGGUCCUUCGGGAUAGUGGCGGACGGGUGAGUAACACGUGGGAACGUACCCUUAGGUUCGGAACAACACAGGGAAACUUGUGCUAAUACCGGAUAAGCCCUUCGGGGGAAAGAUUUAUCGCCUUUGGAGCGGCCCGCGUCUGAUUAGCUUGUUGGUGAGGUAAUGGCUCACCAAGGCUACGAUCAGUAGCUGGUCUGAGAGGAUGGCCAGCCACACUGGGACUGAGACACGGCCCAGACUCCUACGGGAGGCAGCAGUGGGGAAUCUUGCGCAAUGGGCGAAAGCCUGACGCAGCCAUGCCGCGUGGAUGAUGAAGGUCUUAGGAUUGUAAAAUCCUUUCACCGGGGACGAUAAUGACGGUACCCGGAGAAGAAGCCCCGGCUAACUUCGUGCCAGCAGCCGCGGUAAUACGAAGGGGGCUAGCGUUGCUCGGAAUUACUGGGCGUAAAGGGCGCGUAGGCGGACAGUUAAGUUGGGGGUGAAAGCCCGGGGCUCAACCUCGGAAAUGCCUUCAAUACUGGCUGUCUUGGGUACGGGAGAGGUGAGUGGAACUCCGAGUGUAGAGGUGAAAUUCGUAGAUAUUCGGAAGAACACCAGUGGCGAAGGCGACUCACUGGCCCGUUACUGACGCUGAGGCGCGAAAGCGUGGGGGGCAAACAGG